UACAGAGGUCUCAAGCGUUGUUCGGAUUCAUUGGGCGUAAAGGGUGCGUAGGCGGCGGGGCAAGUCUGAUGUGAAAUCCCGGGGCUCAACCCCGGAACUGCAUUGGAUACUGCCUUGCUAGAGUACUGGAGAGGAGACUGGAAUUUACGGUGUAGCAGUGAAAUGCGCAGAUAUCGUAAGGAAGGCCAGUGGCGAAGGCGAGUCUCUGGACAGUUACUGACGCUGAGGCACGAAGGCCAGGGGAGCAAACGGG
rnacentral:rRNA from 1 species